CUUCUGCAGGUCUCACCCCUUUUUUAGUGAAUAAAUGAAAGAGACAGAGUACCCUGACCUUGGGGAAAGGCUCUAACCUAGUGUUUUUAUAGAGAUGAGGAAGCAGCUUUGACAAGUGGAAUUUAAGCCCUGGAUGGUCCUGGACUAUCUAGCCAUUGCUUAAUCUUCUUAACAUGGUCAGCCAGAAGAGAGAUUCUGAGCCUUUCCCAAGCACUCAUAUGAGAAAACACUGUGAAAAACAAUGCUUUAUUGAGGAAAAGGGCCUUCAGGAGGAUCUGCUGCAUGAUCUUGCCAGACACAGAGUUGGGACUGACUGGCC